UUAUAACCUUGGCCGAAAGGUCUGGGUAAUCUUGUGAAACUCAGUCGUGCUGGGGAUAGAGCAUUGCAAUUAUUGCUCUUCAACGAGGAAUGCCUAGUAAGCGCAAGUCAUCAGCUUGCGUUGAUUACGUCCCUGCCCUUUGUACACACCGCCCGUCGCUACUACCGAUUGAAUGGCUUAGUGAGAUCUCCGGAUUGGCUU
rnacentral:rRNA from 1 species